GUGCGGCAGCCUGCUGUUGUUCGCCUGUGACUUUACAAAGCUGUGCUGUGACACAUCACUCCUCUGAUCAGAGCUCACAGACUUAUCAGCAUAUGUCCCGCCGCGCGCACGUGGCUGCAGGCUUCUAAUGAACUGAGGGAGGCGCUUUUCAUGCCAGAGCAGCUGUGGGCUACAGAUACGCAGAGCGGCCUGAUUGACGCUGCAGCUUCUGUAUGAGGUCAGGUGACGAGCUCAGACGGCUCAGUCAGUGGAAUGUUACGUAGCUGUAGCAGGUAAAUGUAUUGUAUUGUAAUGUAUUAUUUUUUCUUCUUGCUUUGUCUUUUUAGUUAGUUGUCCUAGUAGGUUACGUCUUACAUCUGGCUGUCAGCCAUGAUCAUUUACAUCCUCGUGGGACUUUGCAGAAGGCCCAGACUUUGGGAAACGCUGUGCCACCAAGCACGACGGAAGGACGGACGCGUCGCUGGAGAGGUGACGGUGAUGGAGACUCAGAUGCUGCACCUCCAGCGGGUCCUGGCGCUGGAGAAGAUGACGGUGACACAGGUCAACGGCCAGCGGAAGUACGGAGGCCCACCAGAGGGUCUUCCUCGCGGUCCAGCACAGUACGGAGAAGAGGAAACUGUGCUUUGGAGAGCUGCCGGCCUCCACCAGGCAGGAGGACCUGCUGCAGGUGAGGUCUCCCUCAGCUGGAGCUUCUUAGUCCGACAACAACAAUCACACACAGGGUUUGAGUCCUAGCACAGAGGGUGGUUCUGCACACGGGUCGUCCUGCUCAUGAGCUUUUGUGACAGAGCAGCUGGGGACAAACAGCCUUGUCAGCCGUGACUCCGCCCGUCCUAUCACAUUGAUCAGCUUCUUUGCACGCUUUCACUCAGCUGGCAGCACAGUGACUGAACGUAAUGAAAUGUGCAGACGCCACAGUCGUGGGUCCCAUGUUGGACAACAAUGAGACACACUACAGAGUGGAGAUCCAGCUUUUUGUAUAUUUUCAUAUGAUGAUUUUAUUUUCAUUAUUAUGAUUAAUCAACAGAUUAAAGCUGCUACACCCCUUUUUAAUGUUCCAUCCACCUCAGCAGACUUUAAGAAGGGAUUCUCACCACUGGUGACGUACAGCAGGUCUUUACCUAUGAAAGGGAGGAGGGCAAACAGCCCAGUGGUGAACCAGUCGGCACCGGGUGUGGGUCGGACUCAGGAGGGCUCUGGUGGUGUCCUGCUGUGAGCUUGUAGUCUUGGUGAGGUUCAGUGACUGGUGUCUGCUUCCAAGUGCUGCAAGGGCUUGCAGAGGGGGUGAAGCGGUUGUCCCUGAAGCCGGACCUGAAGGGGGUGUCCGCCAUAGUGGCCUUCUCUACCCAUCACACGGCUUCUAUGGCCAAGAAGGGGCUGGUGGAAGGUGAGGGAGCUUCUUUGAUGCUCAUCACAUCACACAUGGUCCUGCUUUUUUUUUUUUUUUUUUUUAUUAACUCCUACACAUGGGUGCACAGCACAAUGAGCUGUGAUCCCUUAUCUACCUCUAAUGUACACCUCUAAUGUCAUGGAGGCCAGGCACAGCUUCUACACCACCUUCUCCCAUCAGCGAAAAUCGUUCAGGAUACAUUCUGGUGUUUUCUUUGUUUUUCUCCAGCGUUCAAGAGGCAUUUUAAUUUAACUGUCAUGGUCAAGUGGCACACACGAUGAGCCCAAAGGAGCCAUGGGCUCAUCAGAAGCCCUCCCGCUACCUCCCCUACACCGUUGGACGGAACUGUCCAAUAAAUGCAGAACACUUGUUCA
ensembl:lncRNA